rnacentral:rRNA from 1 species
UACGUAGGGUGCGAGCAUUGUCCGGAAUUAUUGGGCGUAAAGAGCUCGUAGGCGGUCUGUUGCGUCGGCUGUGAAAACCCGGGGCUCAACUCCGGGCCUGCAGCCGAUACGGGCAGACUAGAGUUCGGCAGGGGAGACUGGAAUUCCUGGUGUAGCGGUGAAAUGCGCAGAUAUCAGGAGGAACACCGGUGGCGAAGGCGGGUCUCUGGGCCGAUACUGACGCUGAGGAGCGAAAGCGUGGGGAGCGAACAGG